GACGAACGCUGGCGGCGUGCUUAACACAUGCAAGUCGAACGGUGAAGCGCCUUCCUUUUUGGUGGGUGUGGAUGAGUGGCGAACGGGUGAGUAACACGUGAGUAACCUGCCCCCUUCUUCUGGAUAACCGCAUGAAAGUGUGGCUAAUACGGGAUAUUCUGGGUCUGUCGCAUGAUGGGUCUGGGAAGGAUAUUGUUUCGGUGGGGGAUGGGCUCGCGGCCUAUCAGCUUUUUGGUGGGGUGAUGGCCUACCAAGGCGGUGACGGGUAGCCGGCCUGAGAGGGUGGGCGGUCACACUGGGACUGAGACACGGGCCAGACUCCUACGGGAGGCAGCAGUGGGGAAUAUUGCACAAUGGGCGCAAGCCUGAUGCAGCGACGCCGCGUGAGGGAUGGAGGCCUUCGGGUUGUGAACCUCUUUCGCCAGUGAAGCAGGCCUGCCUCGUUUGUGGGUGGGUUGACGGUAGCUGGAUAAGAAGCGCCGGCUAACUACGUG
rnacentral:rRNA from 1 species